AGUUAUAAUACUAUUGCGCAGGUGCUCAAUUCAUCCCCACCGAAUAUUUUGUUCAGACGGGAUUUGAUUGGCCCCCGGCUUGUGUCAUGGCAUAAUCUUUUAUCCAGGUUGGAUUCGAUUAACCUGACAGAAGGCCGUGAUGUGUUUCGCUGGAACCUUACUACAUUUGGGUUUUUCACUAUAGACUCUAUGUGCCGUGCGCUCACACAUUCUGAAGUACCUGUCAGUGAUAACAAGAAAAUCUGA
rnacentral:rRNA from 1 species